UGACACUGAUUUCACCUUUCUCGAGCAUGUCGUAGAAUGCUCUCACUUUCCUCUGCUCAUUCCAGUGAUGCAUCUUCCAAAGCCCACCGGCACAAAGGCCAAGUGUUAUUCCGAUAACUAUCUCCUUAACAACACUUGGUCCUUUCAAGGUAGCAUGAGCAACCCUGGAACCAGCCAUUUCGCUUCUAUAGUUGAAUCUAGUAAAAUCCAGAAGCAAGAAUCUAACAUUUUAUUUUCAAUUCUACUUAUGGAGAGGAAUACAGGAACACCACGGUUAUAUAUAAUUUAACAAGCAAAUCAAUUGAUAAACCAGGCAUGAAAGCAGCAAAGGCAAUGAAUGUUCAUAAACCUAAUAAUAACAAUAUGAAGCAAUUCAUGAAAAUUUAUGUACUAUAACUAGCAAUUUAGCCCAUUCCAAUCGGCACAGAGAGGAAAGAUGUAGGACAAAUGCAGAAUUGUUCUCAAAUAUUGCUUCCUUUCAGUUUUCACUCAAAAUGGCUAUAUACAUCUUGUUCUGGGAUCAAUAAAGCUUGCAUUUGCAUGUUACGUUAAAAACAAUUUCAUGCUGAAUUCCAUAAGGGAGAUGUAACUACUUCCAGUAAAACUUUAGCACUUGUGUUAUGCUCUUGGGAUUAUAUCAACUCAUCCAUUGUUAAUGGUUUCCAUGUCAAAUAUCAAUGAAGCCUAACCUUAAUACCUUUACUAUUUGCCAAUGUAACAAAUCAACACCUUCAUUUAAUUCAUUUUCUUGGUUCAAUUCAAUAGCAAUUCUACUUUACAGAAUUCAUGCUCUCUUAUGUCUAAGCAUUCGAACAAAAGACAUGGUAACUCACGGUUUCUGCUAUCUUAGCUUGUCAAGAAACAAAUUUAUAAUACGUUCCAAUCAAUCAAGCAACCCAGCCAACCCAUUCAACUCAUUCAUCAUUUAAGGCUUUACACAUCAAAUUCGUCAAUGGAGCCUCACCUGAACACUUUUCCUAUACCACACCUUCAGUUAUUCAUUUCCUUGGAUAAAUUCAAAAGCAAUUUUACGUUGCACUCUUCAUGCCAUCUCUUAUUUCUAAGAAUUCAAAUUAUAGAGACAGAUUUCCAGUCUCCUAGCUUGUUGAGAAACAAAUUUACAAUACUUGGUCCUUUAAAGGUAGCAUGAGCAACCCUAGAACCAGCAUUUCGCUUCUACAGUUGCAUCUAGUAAAACCCAAAAGCAAGAACUAAACAUUUCAUUUUCCAACUCUACUUAUGGAGGAAUAUUGGAAAACCAUGAUUAUAUAUAAAUUUAAAAAGCAGAUCAUUUUACAAACCAGAUAUGCAAGCAGCAGAGGCAACAAACGUUCAUAAACCUAAUAGUAACAAUAUAAAGCAAUUCAUGAAAAUUAUGUACUAUAACUAGCAAUUUAGCCCAUUUCAGGAAAGAUGUACUGCAAAUCAAUAAUCGUUCUCAAAUAUUGCCUCCUUUCACUCAAAAAGGCUAUAUAAUCUACACUGCUUAUAUAUCUUUUUGUUCUGGACACAAUAAAGGUUGCAUUUGCAUCUUAUGUAUGUUAAUAACAAUUUCAUGCGAGUUCCAUAUGAGAGCCUUAACUAUUUCCAGUAAAACUUUAGCACUUGAGUUAUGCUUUUGGGAUGAUAUCAACUCAUUCAUUCUUAAUGGUUUACAUGUCAAACACCAAAGGAACCUAACCUUAUUACCUUUCCUAUUCACCAAUGUGAGAAAUCAACACCUUCAUUUGAUUCAUUUUCUUGGCUCCAUUAGCAGUUAUACAUUCAUAAUUGAAUAGCAAUUUUACAUUGCAGAAUUCAUUCUAUCUCUUAUGUCUAAGCACUCAAAUAAAAGACAUGGUAACUCAAGGUUUCCGCUGUCUUAGCUUGUCAGGAAACAAAAUUAUAAUACUUUUCAAUCAAUCAAGUAACCAAGCCUAACCCCUUCAACUCAUUCAUUGUUCAAAGCUUUACGGGUCAAAUUUCGACAAAGCCUCGCCUUAAUACCUUUCCUAUAUCACACCUUCAAUUAUUCAUUUUUCUUGGUUCAAUUCAAAAGCAGUUUUACGUUGCCUAAUUCAUGCUAUCUCUUAUGUCUAAGCAAUCAAAUUAUGCACACAGAUUUCCAGUCUCAUAGCGUGUCAGUAAACAAAUUUACAACAUUUGUCAAUCAAUGAAGCAAAACAGCCCCUACAAAAUUAGAAAACAAAAGCUGCCGUGAUUUAUGAAAGAAUUAAAUCGAAAAUUACGUUUUCAUCUAUCACUACAAGUAAAAAAGAAUAUAUUUUCCAACAGUUGUUUCGAUUCUCG
rnacentral:lncRNA from 1 species